rnacentral:misc_RNA from 1 species
UUGAAUACGCUUUGGGUGCUGAUGCUGGCCUUUUCGGAGGCAUGUGCUCGCAUUCAAACUAUUUAUCUUCUCUUGUGCACCUUUUGUAGUCUUUGAACGUUUCUCCGCGUGCAAACGUGGGUUGGGAGGCAUUUCAACGUGCCUCUGGUUCGAAGACUAUGUUUUCAUAUACCUUUAGUAUGUUUUUAGAAUGUCAUCUUAGUGGCUUCGGCCAUUAACCUUAUA